AGUAAAAUGCCUGAAAUUAAAGGGUUAUCUUGAUAGGAUAAAUUAUGUAGCUUUUACUUUUACUA
rnacentral:tRNA from 1 species